AACAUGCCCAGCCUGAAGCGGUCUGGAGGCAGAGUCAGCAUAACCUCGGGGCUGUUUAGAGGUCUUUCCUUAUUAGAUAGCGAAGGUGGAAUGCUGCUGACGUUGUGUCUGCCACUUUUGGUGUUUUGCUCCGAACUCGUGUUCUUCUAUAACAGAAAUUGGUCAGCAUGCGCUUCAUGCUCGCAGAUAAGGUGUCUGGACACUUACCGAACGGCACUGUGCUAGGUGAUGGAGAUGUGGUGAUGAAGAAGAGACAUGUGGGAGAGACAAACAAAAACAGAAAAAAUUAUAAUUACAAGCUAUGAUAAGGACCAUAAAGGAGACAAAGUGCUAAGCUAGAUGGUGCCAGGGCAGACUCACAGCAGUGCACCAGCUUUCACCAUGCAAAUGAGUAAAAUAUCGUAGGGUGUGGCGGAGCAUCAAGAGGAAAGAAACCAGGGUCCCUGGAUGACUUAAUGGAGCUGAGACACCCUUCCAGCCUAGGCCACUCCUACUUCUGG